AUCGCUUCUCGGCCUUUUGGCUAGGAUCAAGUGUAGUAUCUGUUCUUAUCAGUUUAAAUGCGAGACUUAGCACCUGAUACGUUCAAGAAUAUAAUAAUCCAAUGGCUACAUCAUUU
rnacentral:snRNA from 1 species